rnacentral:rRNA from 1 species
CCUACGGGUGGCUGCAGUCGAGAAUCAUUCACAAUGGGGGAAACCCUGAUGGUGCGACGCCGCGUGGGGGAAUGAAGGUCUUCGGAUUGUAAACCUCUGUCAUGUGGGAGCAAAUUAAAAAGAUAGUACCACAAGAGGAAGAGACGGCUAACUCUGUGCCAGCAGCCGCGGUAAUACAGAGGUCUCAAGCGUUGUUCGGAAUCACUGGGCGUAAGGCGUGCGUCGGCUGUUUCGUAAGUCGUGUGUGAAAGGCGCGGGCUCAACCCGCGGAUGGCACAUGAUACUGCGAGACUAGAGUAAUGGAGGGGGAACCGGAAUUCUCGGUGUAGCAGUGAAAUGCGUAGAUAUCGGAAGGAACACUCGUGGCGAAGGCGGGUUCCUGGACAUUAACUGACGCUGAGGCACGAAGGCCAGGGGAGCGAAAGGGAUUAGAUACCCCAGUAGUC